rnacentral:tRNA from 1 species
GGUUCUAUAGUGAAGUGGUUAUCACAUCUGCUUUACACACAGAAGGUCCUGGGUUCAAGUCGUGGUGGAACCA